GAUGAAGAACGUAGCGAAAUGCGAUAAGUAGUGUGAAUUGCAGAAUUCAGUGAAUCAUCGAAUCUUUGAACGCACAUUGCGCCCCUUGGUAUUCCAUGGGGCAUGCCUGUUCGAGCGUCAUUUAACCCCUCAAGCCUAGCUUGGUAUUGGGUGCUUGUCCCGCCUCUCGCGCGGCGACUCACCUCAAAGUCAUUGGCAGCCCGCAUCUCGCCGGCCGUGAGCGCAGCACAGACGCGCUCUUGGCAACGACGGAUCGGCUCUCCAAAAGCUUAUUUCAACCACUGACCUCGGAUCAGGUAGGGAUACCCGCUGAACUUAAGCAUAUCAAUAAGCGGAGGA
rnacentral:misc_RNA from 1 species